CAGGGGUUAGUUUAUGUAAAAUAUUGGUUUUGGGGACCAAUGAAGGGAGUUUAUCCUCCUCCUGA
rnacentral:tRNA from 1 species